AUAUCUCUCUGUACGGGAAGGAUGAGAAGCUUCGACUAAGGUUCGAUUCGAGCGUCAGCGAGAAAGCGUUGCCGCAGGCAACGACCCGAAGGGCGCAGCGCUGAGUCAUCCUUCCCCCACCACCA
rnacentral:sRNA from 1 species